CUCACGAUGAGUGUAGCUGUUUUCUCUUCUGAGGCUGACAGGAAGGCAGUAGCAGCAUGUUUUCAAGAGAUGCCACCAGUACUUGAAUUCUAUGAGUUGGCCAGCAACAAAGAAAGUGGCUUGAAAGAGCAAGAAGUGAGUAGUGACACCCAAGGUGGGCGAGUGGAAUAUAAAAGCAUUCUCCAGGGUUCUUAGUAAAAUUAAGGAAGCGGAAUGUGAAAGGAGGCAUGCAUGACUGCAGUCAUGCAGGAUGGAGAGCUGAAUGAUUUUUAUUUGGAAAUUAAAGAAAAGGCCAAUUCAAAAGUCCUGAAAACUUGAGGACCCUCAGAUAUGAGGUUUAAGACCAGAAAGACUGACUCCAGAGCCCAGGCUCUCAACCAUCAUACCAACUGGCCUCCUUUUGUUGAAGGCUGAGGACCAUAUGGCAAGCAUGAAGACAAUAUGAUUGGCACCUUGGUUCUGUUUGAAUCGUCCUCAUAUUACAAAUCUCCACUCUGAUUUACUUUGUGUAUUAUUAAACACGCACCAUAUAUUGUUUUUUGCUGG
rnacentral:lncRNA from 1 species